rnacentral:rRNA from 1 species
UACGUAGGGGGCUAGCGUUGUUCGGAGUUACUGGGCGUAAAGGGUGUGUAGGCGGUUGUUUAAGUUUGGUGUGAAAUCUCCCGGCUCAACUGGGAGGGUGCGCCGAAUACUGAAUGACUAGAGUGCGGGAGAGGAAAGUGGAAUUCCUGGUGUAGCGGUGAAAUGCGUAGAUAUCAGGAGGAACACCGGUGGUGUAGACGGCUUUCUGGACCGUAACUGACGCUGAGACACGAAAGCGUGGGUAGCAAACAGG